rnacentral:rRNA from 1 species
CGAACGGGUGAGUAAUAUAUCGGAACGUGCCCAGUAGAGGGGGAUAACCAGUCGAAAGAUUGGCUAAUACCGCAUACGAUCUACGGAUGAAAGCGGGGGACCGAAAGGCCUCGCGCUAUUGGAGCGGCCGAUAGCUGAUUAGCUAGAUGGUGAGGUAAAGGCUCACCAUGGCGAUGAUCAGUAGCUGGUCUGAGAGGACGAUCAGCCACACUGGGACUGAGAACGGCCCGGACUCCUACGGGAGGCAGCAGUGGGGAAUUUUGGACAAUGGGGGCAACCCUGAUCCAGCAAUGCCGCGUGAGUGAAGAAGGCCUUCGGGUUGUAAAGCUCUUUUGUCAGGGAAGAAAAGGUAAGGGCUAAUAUCCUUUGCACUUGACGGUACCUGAAGAAUAAGCACCGGCUAACUACGUGCCAGCAGCCGCGGUAAUACGUAGGGUGCGAGCGUUAAUCGGAAUUACUGGGCGUAAAGCGUACGCAGGCGGUUAUGUAAGACAGAUGUGAAAUGCCUGGGCUUAACCUGGGAACUGCAUUUGUGACUGCAUAGCUAGAGUGUGUCAGAGGGGGGUAGAAUUCCACGUGUAGCAGUGAAAUGCGUAGAUAUGUGGAGGAAUACCGAUGGCGAAGGCAGCCCCCUGGGAUAACACUGACGCUCAUGUACGAAAGCGUGGGGAGCAAACAGGAUUAGAUACCCUGGUAGUCCACGCCCUAAACGAUGUCAACUAGUUGUUGGGUCUUAAUUGACUUGGUAACGCAGCUAACGCGUGAAGUUGACCGCCUAGGGAGUACGGUCGCAAGAUUAAAACUCAAAGGAAUUGACGGGGACCCGCACAAGCGGUGGAUGAUGUGGAUUAAUUCGAUG